UGAGCUUGAUCCUGGCUCAGGACGAACGCUGGCGGCGUGCCUAAUACAUGCAAGUCGAACGCUUUUUCUUUCACCGGAGCUUGCUCCACCGAAAGAAAAAGAGUGGCGAACGGGUGAGUAACACGUGGGUAACCUGCCCAUCAGAAGGGGAUAACACUUGGAAACAGGUGCUAAUACCGUAUAACACUAUUUUCCGCAUGGAAGAAAGUUGAAAGGCGCUUUUGCGUCACUGAUGGAUGGACCCGCGGUGCAUUAGCUAGUUGGUGAGGUAACGGCUCACCAAGGCAACGAUGCAUAGCCGACCUGAGAGGGUGAUCGGCCACACUGGGACUGAGACACGGCCCAGACUCCUACGGGAGGCAGCAGUAGGGAAUCUUCGGCAAUGGACGAAAGUCUGACCGAGCAACGCCGCGUGAGUGAAGAAGGUUUUCGGAUCGUAAAACUCUGUUGUUAGAGAAGAACAAGGAUGAGAGUAGAACGUUCAUCCCUUGACGGUAUCUAACCGAAGACGCU
rnacentral:rRNA from 1 species